GCACCCAGACCACCACAACCACCAUUAUUAUUACUGGCACAUCAUGUGUUGGUGCGGGCUGAUACGCACAGAAUUUCCAAAAAAGCCCGUACCUUCCCAGGUACGGGCUUUUUUUUA
rfam:Salinivibrio sp. KP-1 scf7180000001583, whole genome shotgun sequence.